rnacentral:rRNA from 1 species
UACAGAGGUCUCAAGCGUUGUUCGGAUUCAUUGGGCGUAAAGGGCGCGUAGGCUGCGGGACAAGUCGGGUGUGAAAUCUCAGAGCUCAACUCUGAAACUGCACUCGAUACUGCUUUGCUUGAGGACUGGAGAGGAGAUUGGAAUUCACGGUGUAGCAGUGAAAUGCGUAGAUAUCGUGAGGAAGACCAGUGGCGAAGGCGGAUCUCUGGACAGUUCCUGACGCUGAGGCGCGAAGGCCAGGGGAGCAAACGGG